rnacentral:rRNA from 1 species
AGCGGCGAGCGAGCGGGAGAGCUCAAAUUUAUAAUCUGGCACCUUCGGUGUCCGAGUUGUAAUCUCUAGAAAUGUUUUCCGCGUUGGACCGCACACAAGUCUGUUGGAAUACAGCGGCAUAGUGGUGAGACCCCCGUAUAUGGUGCGGACGCCCAGCGCUUUGUGAUACAUUUUCGAAGAGUCGAGUUGUUUGGGAAUGCAGCUCAAAUUGGGUGGUAAAUUCCAUCUAAAGCUAAAUAUUGGCGAGAGACCGAUAGCGAACAAGUACCGUGAGGGAAAGAUGAAAAGCACUUUGGAAAGAGAGUUAACAGUACGUGAAAUUGUUGGAAGGGAAACGCUUGAAGUCAGACUUGCUUGCCGAGCAAUCGGUUUGCAGGCCAGCAUCAGUUUUCCGGGAUGGAUAAUGGUAGAGAGAAGGUAGCAGUUUCGGCUGUGUUAUAGCUCUCUGCUGGAUACAUCUUGGGGGACUGAGGAACGCAGUGUGCCUUUUGGCGGGGGUUUCGACCUCUUCACACUUAGGAUGCUGGUGGAAUGGCUUUAAACGACCCGUCUUGAACCCACGGACC